rnacentral:rRNA from 1 species
UACGGAGGAUCCAAGCGUUAUCCGGAUUUAUUGGGUUUAAAGGGUGCGUAGGCGGCUUAUUAAGUCAGGGGUGAAAGACGGUGGCUCAACCAUCGCAGUGCCUUUGAUACUGAUGAGCUUGAAUGAACUAGAGGUAGGCGGAAUGUGACAAGUAGCCGGUGAAAUGCAUAGAUAUGUCACAGAACACCCGAUUGCGAAGGCAGCUUAC